rnacentral:rRNA from 1 species
CUACGGGUCGCUGCAGUGGGGAAUAUUGCACAAUGGGCGCAAGCCUGAUGCAGCCAUGCCGCGUGUAUGAAGAAGGCCUUCGGGUUGUAAAGUACUUUCAGCGGGGAGGAAGGGAGUAAAGUUAAUACCUUUGCUCAUUGACGUUACCCGCAGAAGAAGCACCGGCUAACUCCGUGCCUGCAGCCGCGGUAAUACGGAGGGUGCAAGCGUUAAUCGGAAUUACUGGGCGUAAAGCGCACGCAGGCGGUUUGUUAAGUCAGAUGUGAAAUCCCCGGGCUCAACCUGGGAACUGCAUCUGAUACUGGCAAGCUAGAGUCUCGUAGAGGGGGGUAGAAUUCCAGGUGUAGCGGUGAAAUGCGUAGAGAUCUGGAGGAAUACCGGUGGCGAAGGCGGCCCCCUGGACGAAGACUGACGCUCAGGUGCGAAAGCGUGGGGAGCAAACAGGAUUAGAUACCCCCGUAGUC